UACAGAGGUCCCAAGCGUUGUUCGGAUUCACUGGGCGUAAAGGGUGCGUAGGUGGCGGGGUAAGUCGGAUGUGAAAUCUCCGAGCUCAACUCGGAAAUGGCAUUGGAAACUACCUUGCUCGAGGGUUGGAGGGGGGACUGGAAUACUUGGUGUAGCAGUGAAAUGCGUAGAUAUCAAGUGGAACACCAGUGGCGAAGGCGAGUCUCUGGACAACUCCUGACACUGAGGCACGAAAGCUAGGGGAGCAAACAGG
rnacentral:rRNA from 1 species